rnacentral:rRNA from 1 species
CCUACGGGUGGCAGCAGUGAGGAAUAUUGGUCAAUGGACGAGAGUCUGAACCAGCCAAGUAGCGUGAAGGAUGACUGCCCUAUGGGUUGUAAACUUCUUUUAUAAAGGAAUAAAACGAGGCACGUGUGCCUUUUUGCAUGUACUUUAUGAAUAAGGAUCGGCUAACUCCGUGCCAGCAGCCGCGGUAAUACGGAGGAUCCGAGCGUUAUCCGGAUUUAUUGGGUUUAAAGGGAGCGUAGAUGGGUUGUUAAGUCAGUUGUGAAAGUUUGCGGCUCAACCGCAAAAUUGCAAUUGAUACUGGCAGUCUUGAGUACAGUUGAGGUAGGCGGAAUUCGUGGUGUAGCGGUGAAAUGCUUAGAUAUCACGAAGAACCCCGAUUGCGAAGGCAGCUUACUAAACUGUGACUGACGCUGAAGCACGAAAGCGUGGGUAUCGAACAGGAUUAGAUACCCUUGUAGUC